UUCAGUGUAAUGGUGGCGAGUGGUUAACGUGUUGGACUUGAAAUCCAACGGGGUCUCCCCGCACAGGUUCAAAUCCUGUCCAUGAAG
rnacentral:tRNA from 1 species